UUUCUGAGUCGUGCGUGCGUGAGCGCGCUGACUUGAAUACCACUGAAUCGGGUCUAUGACCACACCCCUCUGUCUGGUGUUUUGACGUGAUAAUAACAUUUUCUCGUCAGUCCUAUCCAAACACGGGUCCGUAGACCUAAUCACACACAUAUCAUCACUCUCUUGAUCUCAAAUUAGGUAGGACUACCCGCUGAACUUAA
rnacentral:misc_RNA from 1 species